AGUGAACGCUGGCGGUAGGCCUAACACAUGCAAGUCGAACGGCAGCACAGGAGAGCUUGCUCUCUGGGUGGCGAGUGGCGGACGGGUGAGGAAUACAUCGGAAUCUACUCUGUCGUGGGGGAUAACGUAGGGAAACUUACGCUAAUACCGCAUACGACCUACGGGUGAAAGCAGGGGACCUUCGGGCCUUGCGCGAUUGAAUGAGCCGAUGUCGGAUUAGCUAGUUGGCGGGGUAAAGGCCCACCAAGGCGACGAUCCGUAGCUGGUCUGGGAGAAUGAUCAGCCACACGUGACGUGAGCCGAGGUCCGGACUCCUACGGGAGGCAGCAGUGGGGAAUAUUGGACAAUGGGCGCAAGCCUGAUCCAGCCAUACCGCGUGGGUGAAGAAGGCCUCCGGGUUGUAAAGCCCUUUUGUUGGGAAAGAAAUCCAGCUGGCUAAUACCCGGUUGGGAUGACGGUACCCAAAGAAUAAGCACCGGCUAACUUCGUGCCAGCCGCCGCCGUAA
rnacentral:rRNA from 1 species